UCGCGCGGGAGCAACUGUCAACACCUUGUUCUGCCAGAGUCUUAUCGCCGCCGAAUUGCCUCCGCAUACCCGAAGGCGGCUUCGGAAUGCGAGACCACCGCCUUCCGCCCCACGCCUGUAACCUGCCGAGGCGAGGCCUUCUGGACCGGUCUUACAGGGCCCCGUCUAAUCUGAGGAGACUGCACAGUGCAGGUCCCUGGUGAGGGCUUAGGACCCCACGCCCACUCGGAGGCGUGAGGGUGACGCCCGCCUCCUCAGCCCUGGCUUGGCUAAAGUUUUAGCCAAACAAAGGAAAAAAGAAGGCAUCGUGGUGUCUGGGUGAAAAAGCAUGAUGAUAUUCACAUUUGAAACAAAUAGCCAUUGUAUACUCAGGACAGUGCAAAUUCUUAUCAGACUAGUUAAAACUCCUAUCAACCACACUAAAAAAAAAAAUCAGAAUGCAAAUUCAUGAAACUAAAGAUAUGGAACAACAAAUAACACUGGUGCCCAGAGGUGACAAGGUGAAGAAAGAAGACACCGUCCCUAUAUUCCAGUAAUGUCUGUCCAAAGCAUUCUUGUCCAGUUCAUCCCUUGGUUCUAGGCCCUGUUGAUAUUUUCCCAUAGUUGUUCUCAGUCAGUUCCUAUGGGAACAUAACUUACUGGUAUUAUACGCACAGACAGCUGAGACCAGAUUUCCAAUCCAUUC